rnacentral:rRNA from 1 species
GACGAACGCUGGCGGCGUGCUUAACACAUGCAAGUCGAACGGAAAGGCCCUGCUUUUGUGGGGUGCUCGAGUGGCGAACGGGUGAGUAACACGUGAGUAACCUGCCCUUGACUUUGGGAUAACUUCAGGAAGCUGGGGCUAAUACCGGAUAGGAGCUCCUGCUGCAUGGUGGGGGUUGGAAAGUUUCGGCGGUUGGGGAUGGACUCGCGGCUUAUCAGCUUGUUGGUGGGGUAGUGGCUUACCAAGGCUUUGACGGGUAGCCGGCCUGAGAGGGUGACCGGCCACAUUGGGACUGAGAUACGGCCCAGACUCCUACGGGAGGCAGCAGUGGGGAAUAUUGCACAAUGGGCGGAAGCCUGAUGCAGCAACGCCGCGUGCGGGAUGACGGCCUUCGGGUGGUAAACCGCUUUCGCCUGUGACGAAGCGUGAGUGACGGUAAUGGGUAAAGAAGCACCGGCUAACUACGU